AUUGAACGCUAGCGGGAUGCUUUACACAUGCAAGUCGAACGAGUGGAGGACGGGUGAGUAAUAUAUCGGACCGUGCCCAGUAGCGGGGGAUAACUACUCGAAAGAGGGGCUAAUCACGCAUACUCUCGGAGAGGCCGGUACCGGAUUAGCUAGUUGGUGGGGUAAAGGCUCACCAAGGCAACGAACCGUAGCUGGUGUGAGCAGACGGCCAGCCACACUGGGACUGAGACACGGCCCAGACGCCUACGGGAGGCAGCAGUGGGGAAUUGUGGACAAUGGGGGCAACCCUGAUCCAGCCAUCCCGCGUGUAUGAGAAGGCCUGCGGGUUGUAAAGUACUUUUGGCAGAGAAGCGGUAUCUGCAGAAUAAGCACCGGCUAACUACGUGCCAGCAGCCGCGGUAAUUC
rnacentral:rRNA from 1 species